rnacentral:sRNA from 1 species
GUCAGGGCUCAGAGCCCGAGGAAAGAAAAGUCAGCGCCCGAGACGCGAGACGCCACGCGGAUGCUUUCAACGCUAGUGCUGUGGCCUUGCUGGUGGGAGAGAAGGUACAAGAGGAGACCACUCUAGUGGAUGAUCCCUUUCAGAUGAAGACAGGUGGUAUGGUGGAUAUGAAGAAACUGAAGGAAAGGGGCAAAGAUAAGAUCAGUGAGGAGGAGGACCUGCACCUGGGGACAUCGUUUUCUGCAGAAACCAACCGAAGGGAUGAGGAUGCAGACAUGAUGAAGUACAUUGAGACAGAGCUAAAGAAGAGGAAAGGGAUCGUGGAACAUGAGGAACAGAAAGUUAAGCCAAAGAAUGCAGAGGACUGUCUUUAUGAACUUCCAGAAAACAUCCGCGUGUCCUCAGCAAAGAAGACCGAGGAGAUGCUUUCCAACCAGAUGCUGAGUGGCAUUCCUGAGGUGGACCUGGGCAUCGAUGCUAAAAUAAAAAAUAUCAUUUCCACGGAGGAUGCCAAGGCCCGUCUGCUGGCAGAGCAGCAGAACAAGAAGAAAGACAGCGAGACCUCCUUCGUGCCUACCAACAUGGCUGUGAAUUACGUGCAGCACAACAGAUUUUAUCAUGAGGAGCUCAACGCGCC